CCCAUCCUGAAUGGCCGGUGCGCAGACUCAAUUGCGACUUUUGAGGCUGUCAGCCGCCACCCGGCAACCUUCCAGUGAACAGGAUUCUGGGUUUCUCAAAGCUGUAAUUGGAGGGCCACUCCAGAGGUGUUAAAGCUCCAGCACUUCCAGCCUGCCUUGUGGGAAAGUCUUAGGCUGAGUCUGUAGGUGCCUGCAGUUAAGAAGCCAGCGGUCUGCAUAUGAUUGCUCAGGGGUGGUGGCUGGGUACCAACAGCAUUCACUACAGGCCUGCCUUGAAUACCACCUAACGCAGUGCUCCGCAUAUCACAGGGGCUGGAAACCUAACAAUUUCACGUCCUAGACAACUUGCUAAAAGUCACCUAAAGACAGUCUGGUUACUGCCAAAGAUAUGCUUUCAAAUAAGAUUUGGAUAAAGAAGGGAGGUAGAUGCCUUUUUUCAGCAGUGGAGUGAUGUCUAGACCAGUAGAUGUACGCAUCUAAGUGAAUUCAUCACCAGCAACAAUUUCCAGAAACUUCCUGACCUCCAGAUUGCAGCUUCAUUAGUGUGAGUUUAAAGCCAACUAGAUGCCAUUCUCAGAUUCCACGCAUAUGGCCAAGGGUCCAGGAAAUAAGAAGAAACAGGAUUGAGGGGUUGGUGUUAUGGGGCAUUUACUUGAAUUUUCUAUGCUAUAAUUGUCUCAUCUUUAAAAUGGUGAUAAUAAUAAAAUGGUCAGUUAUUAAAUAAA